rnacentral:rRNA from 1 species
CAGCCGCCGCGGAAUACGGAGGAUCCAAGCGUUAUCCGGAAUCAUUGGGUUUAAAGGGUCCGUAGGCGGUCUUGUAAGUCAGUGGUGAAAGCCCCUCGCUCAACGGUGGAACGGCCAUUGAUACUGCAGGACUUGAAUUAUUGGGAAGUAACUAGAAUAUGUAGUGUAGCGGUGAAAUGCUUAGAGAUUACAUGGAAUACCAAUUGCGAAGGCAGGUUACUACCAAUUGAUUGACGCUGAUGGACGAAAGCGUGGGUAGCGAACAGGAUUAGAUACCCGCGUAGUCCCUGUCUCUUAUACA